rnacentral:rRNA from 1 species
UGACCGCUGGCGGCGUGCCUACUACAUGCACGUCGAGCGAACAGACGAGGAGCUUGCUCCUCUGACGUUAGCGGCGGACGGGUGAGUAACACGUGGAUAACCUACCUAUAAGACUGGGAUAACUUCGGGAAACCGGAGCUAAUACCGGAUAAUAUAUUGAACCGCAUGGUUCAAUAGUGAAAGACGGUUUUGCUGUCACUUAUAGAUGGAUCCGCGCCGCAUUAGCUAGUUGGUAAGGUAACGGCUUACCAAGGCGACGAUGCGUAGCCGACCUGAGAGGGUGAUCGGCCACACUGGAACUGAGACACGGUCCAGACUCCUACGGGAGGCAGCAGUAGGGAAUCUUCCGCAAUGGGCGAAGGCCUGACGGAGCAACGCCGCGUGAGUGAUGAAGGUCUUCGGAUCGUAAAACUCUGUUAUUAGGGAAGAACAAAUGUGUAAGUAACUAUGCACGUCUUGACGGUACCUAAUCAGAAAGCCACGGCUAACUACGUG